rnacentral:rRNA from 1 species
GAUGAACGCUGGCGGCGUGCCUAAUACAUGCAAGUCGAGCGAACGGACGAGAAGCUUGCUUCUCUGAUGUUAGCGGCGGACGGGUGAGUAACACGUGGAUAACCUACCUAUAAGACUGGGAUAACUUCGGGAAACCGGAGCUAAUACCGGAUAAUAUUUUGAACCGCAUGGUUCAAAAGUGAAAGACGGUCUUGCUGUCACUUAUAGAUGGAUCCGCGCUGCAUUAGCUAGUUGGUAAGGUAACGGCUUACCAAGGCAACGAUGCAUAGCCGACCUGAGAGGGUGAUCGGCCACACUGGAGCUGAGACACGGUCCAGACUCCUACGGGAGGCAGCAGUAGGGAAUCUUCCGCAAUGGGCGAAAGCCUGACGGAGCAACGCCGCGUGAGUGAUGAAGGUCUUCGGAUCGUAAAACUCUGUUAUUAGGGAAGAACAUAUGUGUAAGUAACUGUUCACAUCUUGACGGUACCUAAUCAGAAAGCCACGGCUAACUACGUG